AGCGGGGUAGGGGAAUGGCACCCCGGUUGGCUCAUAACCAACAGGUACAGGUUCGAAUCCUGUCCCCGCUA
rnacentral:tRNA from 1 species